AACGAACGCUGGCGGCAGGCCUAACACAUGCAAGUCGAACGCUCCGCAAGGAGAGUGGCAGACGGGUGAGUAACACGUGGGAAUCUUCCUAUCGGUGCGGAAUAGCUCAGGGAAACUUGAGGUAAUACCGCAUACGCCCUCAGGGGGAAAGAUUUAUCGCCGAUAGAUGAGCCCGCGUCUGAUUAGCUAGUUGGUGGGGUAAUGGCCCACCAAGGCGACGAUCAGUAGCUGGUCUGAGAGGAUGACCAGCCACACUGGGACUGAGACACGGCCCAGACUCCUACGGGAGGCAGCAGUGGGGAAUAUUGGACAAUGGGCGCAAGCCUGAUCCAGCCAUGCCGCGUGAGUGACGAAGGUCUUCGGAUUGUAAAGCUCUUUUGCCAGGGACGAUAAUGACGGUACCUGGAGAAUAAGCCCCGGCUAACUUCGUGCCAGCAGCCGCGGUAAAAC
rnacentral:rRNA from 1 species